GUGGGGAAUUUUGGACAAUGGGCGCAAGCCUGAUCCAGCAAUGCCGCGUGCAGGAAGAAGGCCUUCGGGUUGUAAACUGCUUUUGUACGGAACGAAACGGUCCGGGUUAAUACCCUGGGCUAAUGACGGUACCGUAAGAAUAAGCACCGGCUAACUACGUGCCAGCAGCCGCGGUAAUACGUAGUGUGCAAGCGUUAAUCGGAAUUACUGGGUGUAACGCGUGCGCAGGCGGUUUUGUAAGACAGGCGUGAAAUCCCCGGGCUCAACCUGGGAAUUGCGCUUGUGACUGCAAGGCUGGAGUGCGGCAGAGGGGGAUGGAAUUCCGCGUGUAGCAGUGAAAUGCGUAGAUAUGCGGAGGAACACCGAUGGCGAAGGCAAUCCCCUGGGCCUGCACUGACGCUCAUGCACGAAAGCGUGGGGAGCAAACAGGAUUAGAAACCCGUGUAGUCC
rnacentral:rRNA from 1 species